rnacentral:rRNA from 1 species
CUACGGGUCGCUGCAGUGGGGAAUAUUGCACAAUGGGGGAAACCCUGAUGCAGCAACGCCGCGUGGAGGAUGACGCAUUUCGGUGUGUAAACUCCUUUUAUCAAGGAAGAAAUUUGACGGUACUUGAUGAAUAAGCACCGGCUAACUCCGUGCCAGCAGCCGCGGUAAUACGGAGGGUGCAAGCGUUACUCGGAAUCACUGGGCGUAAAGGACGCGUAGGCGGUUUGAUAAGUUGGAUGUGAAAUCCUAUGGCUUAACCAUAGAACUGCAUCCAAAACUGUUAAACUAGAAUGAGGGAGAGGUCAGUGGAAUUAGUGGUGUAGGGGUAAAAUCCGUAGAGAUCACUAGGAAUACUCAUAGCGAAGGCGACUGACUGGAACUUUAUUGACGCUGAGGCGUGAAAGCAUGGGGAGCAAACAGGAUUAGAUACCCCCGUAGUC